rnacentral:tmRNA from 1 species
GGGGGUGCACCGGUUUCGACAGAUCAGGGAGGUCCUGGGCUGCAAUCCGAAGCUGACAGGGUGGCUUCGUAAAAAACCUGUCAAAAAAGUAACUGCUGACCACGAGUUGGCCCUGGCUGCCUAAGUGCGGCUACGCUCCCCGGCAAGUUAGCCCGUGACGGGUCGACGGAGCGCCAUUCAAGACGGGCUCGGAGGUUGCCAACGCCUGUAGGCGACCUCGAGAGGAACAGGCUGGCCUGGAGGAAGGUGUGCUCGCGAUACCCACCUCCGGGUGAGACCUCAAAGCGCGAGACAUGAUUGUAGAGGCUCUGGAUUCAACUUUUCUGGACGGGAGUUCGACUCUCCCCACCUCCACUC